UCUCCGUCACUCCAUAGGAAAGUACACGACUAAGGGCCUUGACUUCUCAACACUCCAAUAAGGAUAUGGAAACAGCAGCCGUUGGGGGAAAACAAACUUCCAGAAGUUAAGUCUCGGUCCUCACCUUCUCAAAAACACAUUGGAGGAGAUAAUCACAGGAGAGAACCACAGGAGGGAUCCACUGGAGAGAACCACAGGAGAGAUCCACUGGAGAGAACCACAGGAGGGAUCCACUGGAGAGAACCACAGGAGAGAUCCACUGGAGAGAACCACAGGAGGGAUCCACUGGAGAGAACCACAGGAGAGAACCACAGGAGAGAUCCACUGGAGAGAACCACAGGAGAGAACCACAGGAGAGAACCACAGGAGAGAACCACAGGAGAAAUCCACUGGAGAGAACCACAGGAGAGAACCACAGGAGGGAUCCACUGGAGAGAACCACAGGAGAGAACCACAGGAGAGAACCACUGAGGACAGGGGAGAAUGACCAUCUACCUCCCUGUAUGAUUUGUCCUCUUUGAAUAAACCUAUUUUCCUCCCCCAGAUUUCCUUUGGGGUUUGUGUUAUUGAAGAAUUACAUCAACUGCUACCAAAAGGAAAUGUCAAAAGUUUAGUCUAAGGCAGAUAGAGCUACUUACAACAUAAUUUAAGGUCUUUGAUUGUUUAAAGAUGACAUUCAUUUAAACCUCAAUUUGUUUUAUGGUCAGUUAUAAAAACAGAUAUUUUUGUCCUAGCAAUUAAAGAUCUCUCUGUGA